UACAGAGGUCUCAAGCGUUGUUCGGAUUCAUUGGGCGUAAAGGGUGCGUAGGCGGCGCGGUAAGUCGGGUGUGAAAUCUCGGAGCUUAACUCCGAAACUGCAUUCGAUACUGCCGUGCUUGAGGACUGGAGAGGAGACUGGAAUUUACGGUGUAGCGGUGAAAUGCGUAGAUAUCGUAAGGAAGACCAGUGGCGAAGGCGGGUCUCUGGACAGUCCUGACGCUGAGGCACGAAGGUCAGGGGAGCAAACGGG
rnacentral:rRNA from 1 species